rnacentral:misc_RNA from 1 species
UUUCCGUAGGUGAACCUGCGGAAGGAUCAUUAAAAAAUUCUGCCAUUGUUUGGUGGAAACAAUAAUCAUCCUACCCUUUGUGAAUUUGUUGUUUGUAAUAAUUUUUUAAAAGAAAAAUUAUUUACUGUCUAUCCCUGGAUAGUAAAAGUUGGAAGGAGUAAUCUAGAAAACUUUUGCUUUCAGGGAAUAGUAUGUAAUAAAUUUUUCAUUUAAAGACCUUUUUUUUAAAUUAAACUUUUGUAUUCAUUUGUCUAAAAUUUAUUUUUAAAUAAUUUAAAAACAACUUUUGACAAUGGAUCUCUUGGUUCUCGCAACGAUGAAGAACGCAGCAAAAUGCGAUAAGUAGUGUGAAUUGCAGAAUACGUGAAUCAUCAAAUCUUCGAACGCAUAUUGCACUUUUUUAGUUUACUAAAAAAGUAUGUCUGUUUGAGUAUCAGUAAAAUAUUCUCAAUAAACUUUUUUGUUUAUUGGUUAUGAGUGUUUUACAACGAUACAAGUUGUUUCACUUUAAAUUGACUUUAUAUAAACCUAUCCAUUUAGGUCAAUUUUUAAAAUUGGAUAAAAUUUCCUGUAAAAAGGGAAUAACUUGACAGUUUUAAAGAAAGAUCUAAAAAGGUUUUCUUAAAAGGAAAUUUAUAAUAAACUAACUUGAUCUCAAAUCAGAUAAGAGUACCCGCUGAACUUAAGCAUAUCAAUAAGCGGAGGAAAAGAAACUAACAAGGAUUCCCCUAGUAACGGCGAGUGAAGCGGGAAGAGCUCAAAUUUGAAAUCUUCAAGGGUUUCCCUUGACGAGUUGUAGUUUAUAGAAGUGUUUUCUGUUAGAGAGGUGGUAAAAGUUCUUUGGAAUAGGACAUCAUAGAGGGUGAGAAUCCCGUAUUUGAUCACUUUCUACUAACGUUGUGAUACACUUUCAACGAGUCGGAUUGUUUGGGAAUGCAGUCCAAAAUGGGUGGUAAAUUUCAUCUAAAGCUAAAUAUUGGCGAGAGACCGAUAGCGAACAAGUACCGUGGGGGAAAGAUGAAAAGAACUUUGAAAAGAGAGUUAAACAGUACGUGAAAUUGUCAAAAGGGAAGCGUUUGACACCAGUGUUGUUUUUCCGAAAAUCAAUUACGAAUGGCGGGAUUCUAAGUUUCAUGACCUUAAAAGCUUGUUUCUUUCUUUUCCUGUCUUUCUUAAUGCACUUUUCGGUUAACAAGUCAACAUCAAUUUCUUUUGUUGUAAAAGGUUAAGAGGAAGGUGGCUUUACUUUCGGGUAAAGUGUUUAUAGCCUUUUAACUCUGCAAUCGAAGAGAUUGAGGUCUGCAGCGUAGAUCCUUCGGGGCUAGAUACGUUUGUGCAAAGUUAUAGCUUUUCAUAGACAACUUGUUGACUAUGUUUAGUCUUGUAGCUUACUCGCAGAUGCUAUUUUACCUACGCUUAGGAUGUUGAAGUCAUCGUAUCGCGCGCGCACGCACUACAGAUCAACAUCCUAAGCGUAGGUAUUUACAAGGUUGCGGGAUGCAGCCAGGUCUCCGGCAGUAAUACUCACGGAAG